rnacentral:lncRNA from 10 species
CAAACAAACAAACAAAACAAGAAAACUCAACUCCUCUCUAACUUUGAGUUUCUUUAUUUCAUAUCCAAUUGUCCCUUCCCAAUUCCUAGAUUUUCCCACCCCGACUGCAGUGUGUCAAAGGCAAGGGCAGCCACCCCACCUGUGGUUGGUGUCAUGGGUUUGGGGUCAGAUAGAACAGGCCUUAAAUCCCACCUCUGCCCUUGUGACCUACAUGGUCUGGGGCUGCCAUUCAAGGCCAUCUGGGUCUCAGUUUCUUCAUUUGUUCCAGCAAUGGUCCAGUGCCCCUCCAGUGCGUUCAC